ensembl:misc_RNA Metazoa_SRP Metazoan signal recognition particle RNA
GCUGGGUAUGGUGGCACACACCUGUAGUUCCAGCUAUUCAGGGGGCUGAGAGAGAGGACCAUCUGAACCCAGGCAUUCCGGGCUGUAGUACACUGUGCUGAUGGGAUGUCCAUACUAAGUUCAGCAUCAAUAUGGUGACCUCCCAGGACUACCAGUUUGCCUAAGGAGGAGUGAACUGGCCCAGGUCAGAAAUAGUGGGUCAAAACUCCCAUGCUGAUCAGCAGUGUGAUCUUGUCAGUGAAUAGCCACUGCACUUUGGCCUGGGUAACACAGCAAGAUCUCAUGCUCC